UACAGAGGCCCCAAGCGUUACUGAGAAUCACUGGGUUUAAAGGGUGCGUAGGUGGUCCGUUAAGUUCGUUGUGAAAUCCCUGGGCUCAACCCAGGAAAUGCUUCGAAUACUGGCGGACUUGAGGCUAGUAGAGGUCACUGGAACUGACGGUGGAGCGGUGAAAUGCGUAGAUAUCGUCAGGAACGCCGGUGGUGAAGACGGGUGACUGGCGUAGUUCGUGACACUGAGGCACGAAAGCGUGGGGAGCGAACGGG
rnacentral:rRNA from 1 species